rnacentral:rRNA from 1 species
ACGGGGUGCAGCAGGCGCGAAACCUCCGCAAUACACGAAAGUGUGACGGGGUUACCCAAAGUGUUCUUAUAGAACUGUGGUAGGUGAGUAAUGUCCCCUACUAGAAAGGAGAGGGCAAGGCUGGUGCCAGCCGCCGCGGUAAAACCAGCUCUUCAAGUGGUCGGGAUAAUUAUUGGGCUUAAAGUGUCCGUAGCCGGUUUAGUAAGUUCCUGGUAAAAUCGGGUAGCUUAACUAUCCGCAUGCUAGGAAUACUGCUAUACUAGAGGGCGGGAGAGGUCUGAGGUACUACAGGGGUAGGGGUGAAAUCUUAUAAUCCUUGUAGGACCACCAGUGGCGAAGGCGUCAGACUGGAACGCGCCUGACGGUGAGGGACGAAAGCCAGGGGAGCGAACCGGAUUAGAUACGCGGUGUUAUUUGAAAGGUUUGACUAAUCAACAUCGGGCUAAAAACCCGGGUAGUCCUGGCCGUAAACGAUGCAUACUAGGUGAUGGCACGGCCAUGAGCCGUGUCAGUGCCGUAGGGAAACCGUUAAGUGUGCCGCCUGGGAAGUACGGUCGCAAGGCUAAAACUUAAAGGAAUUGGCGGGGGAGCACCACAAGGGGUGAAGCCUGCGGUUCAAUUGGACUCA